ACGGCUCAGUAACACGUGGAUAACCUGCCCAAGGGUCUGGGAUAACCCCGGGAAACUGGGGAUAAUACCGGAUGGAUCACUAGUGCUGGAAUGCUUGGUGGUCGAAAGGCAACGCCUUUGGAUGGGUCUGCGGCGGAUUAGGUUGACGCCGGUGUAACGUACCGGCGUGCCUGUAAUCCGUACGGGUUGUGGGAGCAAGAGCCCGGAGAUGGAUUCUGAGACACGAAUCCAGGCCCUACGGGGCGCAGCAGGCGCGAAAACUCUACAAUGCAGGCAACUGCGAUAGGGGGACAUCGAGUGGCAUCCACCUUGGGUGCCUGUCCAACCGUCUAAAAAACGGUUGUUAGCAAGGGCCGGGUAAGACCGGUGCCAGCCGCCGCGGUAAUACCGGCGGCUCGAGUGGUGGCCGAUAUUAUUGAGUCUAAAGGGUCCGUAGCCGGCUUUGCAAGUCCCCUGGGAAAUCCAGCGGCUUAACCGUUGGGCUUUCAUGGGAUACUACAUUGCUUGGGACUGGGAGAGGUAGGAGGUACUCGGGGGGUAGGGGUGAAAUCCUGUAAUCCUCCGGGGGACCACCGGUGGCGAAGGCGUCCUACCAGAACAGGUCCGACGGUGAGGGACGAAAGCUAGGGGCACGAACCGGAUUAGAUACCCGGGUAGUCCUAGCCGUAAACGAUGCCCCGCUGGGUGUCACGACGGUCGUGAAUCGUCGUGGUGCCGUAGGGAAGCCGCGAGCGGGCCACUUGGGAAGUACGGGCCGCAAGGCUGAAACUAAAGGAAUUUGGCGGGGGAGCA
rnacentral:rRNA from 1 species